rnacentral:rRNA from 1 species
UACAGAGGGUGCGAGCGUUGUUCGGAAUUAUUGGGCUUAAAGGGCGCGUAGGCGGGCUGUCAAGUCUGGGGUGAAAUCCCACGGCUCAACCGUGGAACUGCCUCAGAUACUGACGGCCUCGAGGGAGGUAGGGGCAUGCGGAACUGUAGGUGGAGCGGUGAAAUGCGUUGAUAUCUACAGGAACUCCGGUGGCGAAAGCGGCGUGCUGGACCUCUUCUGACGCUGAGGCGCGAAAGCUAGGGGAGCAAACGGG